rnacentral:rRNA from 1 species
UACAGAGGUGGCAAGCGUUGUUCGGAAUUACUGGGCGUAAAGGGCGCGUAGGCGGCCUUCUAAGUCAGACGUGAAAUCCCCCGGCUUAACCUGGGAACUGCGUCUGAUACUGGAGGGCUUGAGUAUGGGAGAGGGAUGUAGAAUUCCAGGUGUAGCGGUGAAAUGCGUAGAUAUCUGGAGGAAUACCGGUGGCGAAGGCGGCAUCCUGGGCCACUACUGACGCUGAGAAGCGAAAGCAUGGGGAGCGAACAGG